CCCGCCGCUCCUCACUGGCUUCUUGCUCUUAGGCGCGUGGAGUCGGGCAGCUUGGGACCUUAGCCUUAAUCGUCACCCCGUACUUAGGAUGGGAAGUAUCGGGAAGUUACCUUAGGAGCAGUUGGUUCUGGUGGAAUUAUCAGGAAUUAUUGACUCAGACUUCCUCUCAAAAUGUGAAAAUAAAUGCAAGGUUUUGGGCAUUGACACUGAGAGGCCCAUUCUGCAAGUGGACAGCUGUGUCUUUGCUGGGGAGUAUGAAGACACUCUUGGGACCUGUGUUAUAUUUGAAGAAAAUGUUGAACAUGCUGAUACAGAAGGCAAUAAUAAAACAGUGCUAAAAUAUAAAUGCCAUACAAUGAAGAAGCUCAGCAUGACAAGAACUCUUCUGACAGAGAAGAAGGAAGGAGAAGAAAACAUAGGUGGGGUGGAAUGGCUGCAAAUAAAGGAUAAUGAUUUUUCCUAUCGACCCAACAUGAUUUGUAACUUUCUACAUGAAAAUGAAGAUGAAGAAGUGGUAGCUUCAGCCCCAGAUAAAUCUUUGGAAUUGGAAGAGGAAGAGAUUCAAAUGAACGACAGUUCAAACCUGAGUUGUGAACAGGAGAAAUCAGUGCACUUGGAAAUAGAAGAUUCUGGUCCUCUUAUUGAUAUACCUUCUGAGACAGAAGGUUCUGUUUUUAUGGAAACUCAAAUGCUGCCUUAGAAAUCACUCCUAGAUGAAAUGUUUCUCAUAAUAACUUGUCAAGAACUUUUUAGAGUUACAUAAAAAUAAUUGCUGUGUAGCUUUCAGUCUUUUAAUA
rnacentral:sRNA from 1 species